rnacentral:lncRNA from 1 species
GGCAGUUUGAGUGUUGUGGAAAGAAGAAGGGAGAAAAGCAGUACUCCUGUUUUGCAGCCUCUGCUCCAGAUCCAGAAUAUAGAUCCACUGAUGGAGAGCUCGGCCCUUCUGCUGCUCCUCUAACCCUCGACAUAUUAUGCCUUACACAUACGGCUAUCCAGAGCAUGGUUUCCCCUUUUCUGUGGAUCAAAUGGUUGAACGGUGCUGCUCUCCAGUGUUACAGGACAUACCUGCAUGUAUAGAGGCUGAGCUGGACAGGCACCUGAAUGAUGUGUGUAAAGUGAAGGAGCUGGUGAAGCCUCAUUGUUGUGCACCCAAAAUCAAAAACCGUGUCAAAUGUGCCACAAAGCUGCUCCUGCGCUAUAUCGGCAAGGCAGAUAAAGACAGCAGGAGGAAGAUGUGCCCUCAGCUUCAGUUGGUCUGAGUCAGACAGAAUCCCUGAUCUGAUCUCUGAAUGUGGAUCCUUUUUUACAGAGCGCACACAUUUCAAUAUAUGUACACUUGAGUUGAAGCAAACCUGUACCACUUUUUGUUUGUCUUUUAAAAUGCAUUUUAUAUGUCUUACAGAUUAUCAAGAGACAUUUUUCAGCAUUAGAAAAAAAGAACUGCUUGGACAGUUCAAAAUGUUUUGUUUCCACUGUUUCCCCUCUGUUCCCAAAAAUAUAACAAAUUAUAUAUGUAUAUAAUAUAUAAAUAAAAAGUCUUCUGUGAUUGUAUGUUGUUCUCACACAAUAUCAUUUACAUUUA